UACGUAGGCAGCGAGCGUUGUUCGGAGUUACUGGGCGUAAAGGGUGCGUAGGCGGUUGUUUAAGUUCGGUGUGAAAUCUCCCGGCUCAACUGGGAGGGUGCGCCGAAUACUGAAUGACUAGAGUGCGGGGAGAGGAUAGUGGAAUUCCUGGUGUAGCGGUGAAAUGCGUAGAUAUCAGGAGGAACACCGGUGGUGUAGACGGCUAUCUGGACCGUAACUGACGCUGAGGCACGAAAGCGUGGGUAGCAAACAGG
rnacentral:rRNA from 1 species